rnacentral:misc_RNA from 1 species
UGCCAAUUGAAGUUUUUAGUGACCUGCUAAAAUUAGUGACAAGAUCAAUUGACCAAACGUGAAAUCAAGUCCAAUCAAUUUCGAGGGGCAGGUUUCAGGUAUUGUAUUUCCAGGUUCACAAGAGUACAAGUGAUGUGAACUAUUGAGCACUAAGAGUCGCUAAGGUUGCACUACGUCAUGAUAGACCACCUAAGUAGAACUCACCUUAAAAAUCG